UUUAUGCUUUAAUGAUACUAAAAAUGGCAGGUAGUGCGUUUAAUACACCAUAAGGAUGUUAUGCUUGAAAAUGUUGUUGCUGCUCUUGACGUGUCAAAUCUGUAGCUCGAUUUAGUGCUGUAAUCGACAUUGUUGGAUGAAGAACAUAGGAGCUGAUGAUCUCGGAGAUUGAGGUGUCACUCUCUGGAAGAGGAGGGGAAUGGAAAGGUCUUUCAAGGGUAAUUUUGCCUUUUCAGUGUGGUUAUGGAGGUUCUUGUGGCGUGAUGUGAAGUUCGAGAGUUUCGAGGGGUCAGAGUGGACUUAGCUGCAUCGAUUGACAUUUUUGAUUUGCACAUAAGCUUGAAGAAGAUGGUUUAGUUCAACUAUUUUGGAGAUCAGAAAAGAAGCAGAUUUGAGGAACGUGAGGAUUGUAGUGAUGAUGGGUAGAGGAAAGAUAAUCAAAUGGUAGAGAGAGAGAGUUUUCGGGGUAUUUUUGUCCUGAAAAUUUUAUGUUUUCAAUGUACUACAAAAACUGAACCAAUUUAUGAAACAAAGUCCUUUUCAGCGGGACCGGCGCUCGGUAGAGUUGAUAAGGUAAUGACUUAAAUACCACCAUGUCUCAGGUUACGAAAUUGAAGCUCUUGUUACGGAAAUGAUGGAAGGGAAGAAAAUGAGAAGUAGGGCUCAGGGGUGGAAGAAGAAAGCAGAAGAAGCUACUGAGAUUGGGGGAUCAUCUUAUAACAACUUUGACAGAUUCAUCAAGGAGGUCCUCCAAUUUGAGAGCAAUUAGUAUAAACUGUUGGGGAAUUUAUUUAGGUUUCUGAGGAGUUUUACUUGGGAUGUGAUUGUGUACAAUUGUUUUGACCUUGUGGCAAAAAACCACGGAGAAGCAGUCUGGCAUGCCUGUAAAUUCUCUCAUUGAAAAAAAAAAAAUUAAAUAAAA